UAGCACCAUUUGAAAUCGGUGUU
rnacentral:miRNA from 3 species